rnacentral:rRNA from 1 species
UACGGAGGAUGCGAGCGUUAUCCGGAUUUAUUGGGUUUAAAGGGUGCGUAGGCGGCCUUGUAAGUCAGCGGUGAAAUUUUGCAGCUUAACUGUAAAAGUGCCGUUGAUACUGUGAGGCUAGGAUUUGGUUGCUGUGGGUGGAAUGUGUGGUGUAGCGGUGAAAUGCUUAGAGAUCACACAGAAUAUCGAUUGCGAAGGCAGCUCACAAAGCCAAGAUUGACGCUGAGGCACGAAAGUGUGGGGAUCAAACAGG